UGCAGGCUGCGCGGAAACUGCCCUGCGGACAUCUUUUCCACAAGGUCUCGGAUUGCGAGCUGGCUGCCGAGUUUUUCGGUUGAAGUGAUGCACACCACCAACAUUCUUGGCAUUACGCAGGCCAGCAACUCCCAGCUCAAUGCAAUGGUAAGGUCUGCUAGCUGCUUUAAGAAGAUCACUGGGAAUUAGGAGGGAAAGAACAGCUAGAGCGUGUGUGCCGGGUAUAUGACCUUGUUGGUCUUACUCUGCUCUGGCAGAGUAGGAUUUUUAGGGGCUUCUUUUUAUUUACUGGGACCAUUUACAUUCCUGUGUUUUAAAUUUUGAAACGUUCAUUUUAUUUCUGUGGCGGAUAAUCUAACCUUUUCUGAACACUACUAGGUUCACUCUGUUGUGAUCUAGGCCUACCUUGGGACUCCUUCGA
rnacentral:sRNA from 1 species